UGUACCUACGGGACGCAGCAGUGGGGAAUAUUGCACAAUGGGGGAAACCCUGAUGCAGCGACGCCGCGUGAGCGAAGAAGUAUUUCGGUAUGUAAAGCUCUAUCAGCAGGGAAGAAAAUGACGGUACCUGACUAAGAAGCUCCGGCUAAAUACGUGCCAGCAGCCGCGGUAAUACGUAUGGAGCAAGCGUUAUCCGGAUUUACUGGGUGUAAAGGGAGCGUAGACGGCAGUGCAAGUCUGAAGUGAAAGCCCCGGGCUUAACCCGGGAACUGCUUUGGAAACUGUACGGCUGGAGUGCUGGAGAG
rnacentral:rRNA from 1 species